rnacentral:sRNA from 1 species
UUUUUUUUUUUAGAUAUAAGAAUGCAAUAUUUUAUCUGCUGUUUUGUUCUGUUGUUUUUGAAUUGCAAAAUAAUAGAUAAAAAAACACAAAACUAUUCUAUUAAAAAACAGUGUUUGGCUGCAGGUUCAGGAAACUUUGUUUUCAGUGCAUGACAGAUAUUUCUCCAAGAAUUUACAAACUUAAAGACAAAAUGGUAUAAAUUUUCUGUAAUGACUGAGAUUACCCUGUGUGAGACUGUAUUAAACUAAUAUGACAAAGGUGCAAUAUAUAACUUGUAUGAUUUCAAAUAUUUUGUUGGCCCAUUGCAGAGUUUAUGGCUUUGGUUACAAUGAAUCUAAAUACUAGUUCUACUAUGGGCUGGGGAGGGGGGGGGGGGGGUUAAAAAAAUCAGAUCUGAUGGGUAAGGAUUUCUUUAGACUCUGCAUGGGUUGAUACGUAUAAUUUAUCUGUACAUAGAAUCAGCUGACUGGAAGGCUAGUGUGUUAAUAGAAUGAGUAUAUAACUUAUUCAUUUCUUGCAGGUUUGUGUCUUGUACAACAUAUUUGUUUAUAGCUUGGAUGUGAUAGAUAUUGGGUGUGUUCAAGGGAAAUAAUACAUAGUAACAUUUAUUUAUUUGUGCCGUGGAUUAUUGACGUAUUUGAUGAUCAAGUACUGGAUGAGAUGUAUAAGAGAAGUGCUACUCUAGUAAACUAUACUAGUAUCUGUAAUUUAUACAACAAGUCGAAACAGCUUAACUUUUAGCAACAGAUUUCCUAUCAUGUUCACUAAUCAAUACGUAUCAUUGUACAUCAUCUAUUAACACAUUUACUUUAGAGAAAUUGUUAUGAGGAAAGUAAUCUAGUCAGAAAGGUUUCAUUGUUUGAGCAAAUCCCCAAAAUGUUUUGCUUACUCUAAAAAUAAAGCUUCCGGUAUUCAAGAUUUACUGAUAAAUACCGUACUAGUACACAUGCCUAUUAAUUACACUCCUACUCCAUCAAAAUUCUGGCAUUAGUUUCUAAUUUAAUAUUAGAUAUAUUUAUUUAUAUAAACAGUAUUAGCAACACUUGGUAUCAUGUUUAUCAGUAAAAAAAAAAAAAUAAUAUUUUACUAAUUUAUAAUGGAAAUCAUCUGCAGUAUUUUGUAUGUACUACAACUUGUUUGAAAUACAAUAGAACUGUCACCCCUCAGAUUAAAUCACCCACCUCCUACAGGAUGGAGGUUACUGAUCCAGAAGAUUAAAUGUCUGCUUGUUCAUAUGAUAAGAUAUUUGUUUGUUUUUCUUUUUAUAUGGCUCUGUAUGAAGUACAAUGUCUUAAGUAAAUUUUACAAACAUU